rnacentral:rRNA from 1 species
CUUCGGGUGAGUGGCAGACGGGUGAGUAACGCGUGGGAACGUGCCUCAAGGUACGGAAUAGCACCGGGAAACUGGUGGUAAUACCGUAUAUCUCCUUCGGGAGAAAGAUUUAUCGCCUUGGGAUCGGCCCGCGUUGGAUUAGCUAGUUGGUGGGGUAAAGGCCUACCAAGGCGACGAUCCAUAGCUGGUCUGAGAGGAUGAUCAGCCACACUGGGACUGAGACACGGCCCAGACUCCUACGGGAGGCAGCAGUGGGGAAUAUUGGACAAUGGGCGCAAGCCUGAUCCAGCCAUGCCGCGUGAGUGAAGAAGGCCUUCGGGUUGUAAAGCUCUUUCACUGGCGAAGAUGAUGACGGUAGCCAGAGAAGAAGCCCCGGCUAACUUCGUGCCAGCAGCCGCGGUAAUACGAAGGGGGCAAGCGUUGUCCGGAAUUACUGGGCGUAAAGGGCGUGUAGGCGGAAUGCCAAGUUAGAUGUGAAAGCCCCGGGCUCAACCUGGGAA